rnacentral:rRNA from 1 species
CAUGCCGUAAACGAUGAGUGCUAGGUGUUGGAGGGUUUCCGCCCUUCAGUGCCGCAGCUAACGCAUUAAGCACUCCGCCUGGGGAGUACGAUCGCAAGAUUGAAACUCAAAGGAAUUGACGGGGGCCCGCACAAGCGGUGGAGCAUGUGGUUUAAUUCGAAGCAACGCGAAGAACCUUACCAGGUCUUGACAUCUUCUGAAAAUCUUAGAGAUAAGACGUUCCCUUCGGGGACAGAAUGACAGGUGG